rnacentral:rRNA from 1 species
CUUUGUACACACCGCCCGUCGCUCCUACCGAUUGGGUGUGCUGGUGAAGUGUUCGGAUUGGCGACCUGGGGCGGUCUCCGCCCUCGGCCGCCGAGAAGUUCAUUAAACCCUCCCACCUAGAGGAAGGAGAAGUCGUAACAAGGUUUCCGUAGGUGAACCUGCGGAAGGAUCAUUG